CUUGCACUAGAGGUGUUGCAGGUGUAGCUACUAUGACACAUGUGUGUCAGUAAGGUGGCAAAGAGGAGAAAGGCAAUGCUCAGUGUUCUGACCUAUAUACAUCUGAAUGAUUAGUAUCCUAACAUU